rnacentral:rRNA from 1 species
CCACGGGCGGCAGCAGUGGGGAAUAUUGGACAAUGGGCGAAAGCCUGAUCCAGCCAUGCCACGUGUGUGAAGAAGGCCUUCGGGUUGUAAAGCACUUUCAGUGGGGAAGAAAGCCUUGGGGCUAAUACCCUCGAGGAAGGACAUCACCCACAGAAGAAGCACCGGCUAACUCCGUGCCAGCAGCCGCGGUAAUACGGAGGGUGCGAGCGUUAAUCGGAAUUACUGGGCGUAAAGCGCGCGUAGGCGGUCUGAUAAGCCGGUUGUGAAAGCCCCGGGCUCAACCUGGGAACGGCAUCCGGAACUGUCAGGCUAGAGUGCAGGAGAGGAAGGUAGAAUUCCCGGGGUAGCGGUGAAAUGCGUAGAGAUCGGGAGGAAUACCAGUGGCGAAGGCGGCCUUCUGGACUGACACUGACGCUGAGGUGCGAAAGCGUGGGUAGCAAACAGGAUUAGAUACCCCGGUAGUC